UGCAGUCGAGCGGAGAGAGGUAGCUUGCUACUGAUCUUAGCGGCGGACGGGUGAGUAAUACUUAGGAAUCUGGCUAUUAGUGGGGGACAACAUUUCGAAAGGGAUGCUAAUACCGCAUACGUCCUACGGGAGAAAGCAGGGGAUCUUCGGACCUUGCGCUAAUAGAUGAGCCUAAGUCGGAUUAGCUAGUUGGUGGGGUAAAGGCCUACCAAGGCGACGAUCUGUAGCGGGUCUGAGAGGAUGAUCCGCCACACUGGGACUGAGACACGGCCCAGACUCCUACGGGAGGCAGCAGUGGGGAAUAUUGGACAAUGGGGGGAACCCUGAUCCAGCCAUGCCGCGUGUGUGAAGAAGGCCUUAUGGUUGUAAAGCACUUUAAGCGAGGAGGAGGGUACUGGUAUUAAUACUACCAGGUACUGGACGUUACUCGCAGAAUAAGCACCGGCUAACUCUGUGCCAGCAGCCGCGGUAAUACAGAGGGUGCGAGCGUUAAUCGGAUUUACUGGGCGUAAAGCGUGCGUAGGCGGCUAAUUGAGUCGGAUGUGAAAUCCCCGAGCUUAACUUGGGAAUUGCAUUCGAUACUGGUUAGCUAGAGUGUGGGAGAGGAUGGUAGAAUUCCAGGUGUAGCGGUGAAAUGCGUAGAGAUCUGGAGGAAUACCGAUGGCGAAGGCAGCCAUCUGGCCUAACACUGACGCUGAGGUACGAAAGCAUGGGGAGCAAACAGGAUUAGAUACCCUGGUAGUCCAUGCCGUAAACGAUGUCUACUAGCCGUUGGUCUCUUUGAGGGAUUAGUGGCGCAGCUAACGCGAUAAGUAGACCGCCUGGGGAGUACGGUCGCAAGACUAAAACUCAAAUGAAUUGACGGGGGCCCGCACAAGCGGUGGAGCAUGUGGUUUAAUUCGAUGCAACGCGAGAACCUUACCUGGUCUUGACAUAGUAAGAACUUUCCA
rnacentral:rRNA from 1 species